rfam:Chaetura pelagica isolate M959 contig48937, whole genome shotgun sequence.
AAGGUGGCCUAUGCUACUGCUAUGGAUUGGUUUAUAGCAGUGUGCUAUGCCUUU